CGCGAGAGCUGCUGCGGGGCGGCGCGCCCUCACCGCCCAUCGCGAGAGCUGCCGCCACCGCGCUGACGGCUAACGGCUAACGGCUCCCCGCGGGGGGAGGGGCGGGCGCCGCGGCGCUGCCCCCAGCACGGCCCCCAGCCUUCCUCCCCUCCCACAGUGCUAUAAACAUGGCAAGCCAAAGGAAGACAUUAGAAAACAACACAAGGAAGCUAUGAAGGCUGUUGAGAAAGCAAAGAAGCCAGCUGGACCGGUUUAUUUCCUGUGGGAGGAGGGCUGCACAAAACGCUGCGAGUCAAGAUUGUGAGAUGAAGGCAUAAAGAGUUACCUCACGGUGGUAUAUUGAAGAAUAUGAAGUGAGGAGCAGAACGGAGAGGAAACUCCAGAUCUCUUGAAACUCCAGCUCAGCACAAGAGAAAAGAAAUGCAUUACCAUCUGAUGAUAAGGAGCUAGCAGAGUCCACACGUGCAUUCAGACCGUGGGUAUAUGUAAACUACGUUCCUCGUGAGGAGAGUGUCUGUAUACUUGACAGACUGGCCACAGGAUGGGGUUUAUUGCCACAGUCCUUUCCUGGAAGAUGAUUUAGCCACCAGCAACCUUUGUACGUGUAAGGACAAUUCAAGUUAAGUCUUUGGUGUUCGGGACCGACGAGACCCUGGCUACCUCCUGAGAUAACGUGAUGCCCACACAGACUCCUGCUGUGGUGUGCCUGUCUGUUUUCAAGGAUGGCUCUGGAUUGUGCCUCUGUGCAGGCUGUGAUACUGAAUAAGCUGGCCUCAUCUGGCAGGCAAAGCAUCUCUCUGUUGAAUUAAUAGCUUUAUGUGGCUCAUAGGAUGAAACGGGAAGGCAAUCUGAGGGUGUUAGAACAUCAUCAUCUUCUUUUCUUCUUCUUAACAGAACCAUAGCUUCUGUGCCUCUCCAGCAGAAAUGACCUUCAAGGUCUGUUGUGACAAGGCCUAAGUGGAUGCAUUUCUUAUGGGGAUGAAGCAACAAGGUUGUUUGCUUCUGUUGGUUAAAAAUAGACUUUUAUGGUUACUUUAAUGUCUCAUUUUUCUUUAUACUUGGAAGGCUUAAAAAUUUGCCCUGACACAUAUCGGUAAAACAGAAGCUACAGGGAAAGAGUCAGCUAUAAGAUAUCCAAGCAAAAGGAUACUUUAAAAUCCAUCAUUUUCUGUGGCAUCUUUCAUAUGCACAAAGUUACAAUGCCUGGCAGGCUAUCUCAGUGUGUCCAAUUGCCUGUUUUAACAAACACAUCUUUAGACUUGUGGAAGUAAAGUAAGGUCAUUGCUUGAAUGAGUAAGCUGACACUUGGAAAGAGAUGCAGUGUGAUAGGUCUACUGCUCUCCAAACAGUGUGUACAGAAAAAAUAACAGUAAAACUAAAAGAUAACAUAUAAGCAAUAAAAAAUAGCAAGUAUCUCUUCCUAGGCACAUCAAUCCUGGCAUCAUCAGCUCAGCCACCAGUUAGAUGGUGACGGGAAAACAGAGAGAAAAUGUCUCAUUCUAGCACUGAAGAUUACAUGCCCUCAAAAAGAUAAAAUUACCCGAGACCCUUCCAGAUCACCUAAAAGGAGGGGUUGUAUAUAUACAGCACAUUGAACAUCUAGCCCAAUUUCUCAUCUUUGUGAGAAAGCAAAUACUUGAUAGGUUUUGUAUUUUAAACAGCACUCAAGGUGCAUGAAAAUAAAUAAAUAAGUUAACCUUAAAGUCUAAGCCCAGGAAGGAAAAUCUGAGCAGACUUCAGCCUCCAUCAUCAGCUUAGCUCUCUGGGUGUGACAGGCAAUUUUCCUUUUUAAUUUUCUCCAGCAGUAAGGAAGCUAAUGGUACAUCUUAAAAGAUAUGACCUUAUCCUUGUAAGUUACCUGAAGCUUGGCAGAAAAUGAGCUGGCCUCACGUUCCAUGAAAGGCCAGUUUGAAGGGAAGAAUUCCCCUCUUGCUUUCAUCAAUGGACUGAGGAAUGGAAAGAAAGAUUUGAUUUUUGCACGCAGUUUUUAUUCUGCUUCAGCUUGAUCCAUGCAAUGUUUUUUAAUGGUAGCAUUUUAUAUGUUUUUAAAUUAUGGAUGCUCCAUAAAAAUAGAUAUGGCUGAUCAUUUUCAGUUGGCCAGAACAGAUGUGAUGUAGGGCCAAGUUACGCAAAAGCAUACCUACGUGGAGACUUUUCUUCCUCCUCAGAGUCCUCUUGAAGUCAGUGGAACUGUCUGUAUCAGUAAAAUUAUGGAUUUGCUGUACUGUAACAUGACAAGGUUUUUUAUGAGAAAAAUAAAUUACAGCCAGAGCAAUUUCAGUGAGUAAUCUGACAAAGCAUCAUUGGUAUGGUGAAUCUGUCAUAAUUGUGGAUAAAGAGAACAUAGUGAA